rnacentral:misc_RNA from 1 species
GCCUCCAACACCAUCACCACCUCUCUCCUUCUUCUCUUCUUCCUCCUUUCUUCUCCUUCUCUUCCUCUCCAAAGAUCCCAUCUUCUAUCCUCUUAUGAAUUAGAUAUUGAUAUAAAUAUCAUCAAAGACUAUUGCCUAUGACAUUUCUCAUGAUUGUUUCUCCGAAACAUCUAAUGAAGGUUUGCUAAUAAUCGCUAGAAUCAAAUGGGUGUCUGCUUCUCCACCAUCAAAGUCAGUGGUUCUAACAGCAACAGCACCACUACCGCCAUAGCUGGCCACCGCAAGGGAAGCACCAAUAAGCCACAAUCAAGAACCACGAAUAAACGAUCGUCGGAUCAAAAGAAUGAUAACAACAAUAAUAAUAAAAAUGAGACUCGCAAGAGUAGACAACUGCAAACUCAGCAGCAGCAUAAGGUGAAAGAGAAGCAGACUUCCAGGAGACAGAGCGGGGUGAUCCCAUGUGGUAAACGCACGGAUUUUGGAUAUGCCAAGGAUUUUGAUAGGCGAUACAUGAUCGGAAAAUUAUUGGGUCAUGGCCAAUUUGGAUACACCUAUGUUGCCACUGAUAAAGCUAAUGGAGAUCGCGUCGCAGUCAAGAGGAUUGACAAAAAUAAGAUGCUUCUUCCUAUUGCUGUUGAGGAUGUUAAGAGGGAGGUCAGGAUAUUGCGGGAACUUGCUGGUCAUGAGAAUGUAGUUCAGUUUUAUGACGCAUUUGAGGAUGAUUCUUAUGUAUAUAUAGUAAUGGAGUUAUGUGAGGGUGGUGAAUUGCUGGACCGCAUAUUGACAAAGAAGGAUAGUCGUUAUACUGAGAAAGAUGCAGCAGUAGUCGUACGACAGAUGCUCAAAGUUGCAGCUGAGUGCCAUUUACAUGGUUUGGUACACCGUGACAUGAAACCAGAGAAUUUUCUUUUCAAGUCAACCAAGGAGAACUCACCUCUGAAGGCAACAGAUUUUGGCCUAUCAGACUUCAUUAAACCAGGCAAGAAGUUUCAGGACAUUGUUGGCAGUGCCUACUAUGUAGCCCCUGAAGUAUUAAAGCGCAGGUCCGGACCUGAAUCUGAUGUCUGGAGUAUUGGUGUUAUUACAUACAUUUUGCUAUGUGGGAGGCGCCCUUUUUGGGAUAAGACUGAGGAUGGUAUAUUUAAAGAGGUGUAGUACAAUCUUAAUAAGAUAGUGGCUUCUUAUUUUUUUUUUUUUCGUUCCAUUUCUCUUUCCUGCCGGCCUAUCGCUGCAAACUUACAAUAUGUUGUCCCACCGUCUUGGUAGCAAAAUUUGAUUUGCUUUAUAGAUAUUUUUGGGUGAUGUUGCUCUAAACAACCUUUUCACAACAUCUACACUUUUCCUGCUUGUCUUGUGAAUGCUGUAAUCAUUUAUGCUCCAGUUCUCAGUUUGUGUAUUUGAAGGAAAAAAAAUAGACAGUUCUAUCAUCCUUUAUUUUAUGUGGCGUUCUCAGUUUUCUGAAUAAUUGUUUUCACGUGCUUAGGGGCUAAUGACAUUUUAAAUUCAGAAAACUGAUGUCCAUAGUAUAAUAUGUUUUGGUGAUAUUUUAUAUAUACUGAAUUGCUUAUGUGCUCUUGUGAUGUUUUGAAUUUCUCUUAAUUGGAUAGCAUGGUACCAUAUUUUAUUUUCAUUGUUAAUAUUUACUAUCUUCAGUUACCAAUGUCUAAAGUCUGCAGGUCUUGAGGAAUAAACCUGAUUUUCGCCGCAAACCAUGGCCAAGCAUAAGUAAUAGUGCCAAAGAUUUUGUAAAGAAGUUACUGGUGAAGGAUCCUCGGGUCAGACUUACUGCUGCUCAGGCCCUAUCACAUCCAUGGGUCAGAGAAGGAGGAGAUGCAUCUGAAAUUCCCAUCGACAUAUCUGUUCUGAGUAAUAUGCGACGAUUUGUGAAGUACAGUCGUUUGAAACAGUUUGCUCUAAGGGCGUUGGCUAGCACACUUGAUGAUGGGGAGCUGGCUGAUCUUCGGGAUCAAUUUGACGCCAUUGAUGUUGAUAAAAAUGGUUCUAUUAGUCUUGAAGAGAUGAGACAGGCACUUGCUAAAGACCUUCCUUGGAAGUUGAAGGACUCCCGUGUCCUGGAGAUUCUUCAAGCGAUUGACAGUAAUACAGAUGGACUUGUUGAUUUCUCUGAGUUUGUUGCUGCUGCUCUACAUGUGCAUCAACUAGAGGAACACAAUUCUGAGAAGUGGCAUCAGCGUUCACAAACUGCUUUUGAGAAAUUUGAUCUUGAUAAGGAUGGAUAUAUAACACCAGAAGAACUAAGAAUGCACACGGGCUUAAGAGGCUCCAUUGACCCACUUCUUGAGGAGGCUGAUAUUGAUAAAGAUGGUAAAAUAAGCCUUUCAGAAUUUCGUAGGCUGCUAAGAACAGCAAGUAUUGGUUCAAGAAAUGCACCGAGUCCAUCUGGUCAUCGAAAUUCUCAGAAAAUUUAGAGGAGAAAUGGAAUUUUGAAGGAGACAAGUGAGAGAGUUACAGAAGCAGAGUUGCCUUUCACAUAAGUUCUACUCAAAGAUUGCAGUUACAAAGAGUUCUAGAUUGAUUAUCUCGCUCCAUUACCAUCCAUUUACCUCUGUUGAAUUCUUAAGUUUUCAAUGGUAGGAUUCCCCAUAGGAUGCUUGUUAAGAGGAUGUAUCAUAUUAAGGGGAGAGGUGUUGGUUCUCUAUGGAGGAUGGCUCUGCGGGUGGUGGUCAUACUGUUGUACAUUAUUUUGGAGUGUUGGGGACUUUCUUUGUCGUGCCCUGCGAAUUGUAAUACCUAACCACAAAUAAAAUACCAUUGAACGUUGGUGUUUUUAGAGAUCUAUCGUGUUUAUUACAUGAACUUGCACUUCGUAUUUUUUUUGUUUUAGAAAAUUAGUGUAUGUUACUCGUAUAAUAAUUAGUGCAUUAAAACCUGGACUGUGAUAAUAUUUUGACUCAAGUAC